rnacentral:lncRNA from 1 species
UUUUUUUUUUUUUUUUUUAAUUUCUAAACCCGUACAGCUGGGGUUCCCAGUCUGAGGGCUACUGGCAUCAUAAUCACUUCAGGGAGGGUUUUUCUUUGUUUACUUUUCUGGCCACCCAGCAGCAUAUGGUGUUCCCAGGCCAGUGAUCAGAUUCAAGCUUCAGUUGCAACCUAAGCCGCAGCUGCAGCAAUGCCGGAUCCUUAACCCACUGCACCCGGCUGGGGAUCAAAGCUGCAUCCCAGGGCUCCCAAGAUGCCACCAAUCCCAUUGUGCCAUAGCAGGAACUCCAGGGAGGUUUUUAUUUUUUUAUUUAUUUAUUUUUUUUUAUUUUCCCACUGUACAGCAAGGGAGUCAGGUUAUCCUUACAUGUAUACAUUACAAUUAUAUUUUUUCCCCCACCCUUUGUUCUGUUGCAACAUGAGUAUCUAGACAAAGUUCUCAAUGCUAUUCAGCAGGAUCUCCUUGUAAAUCUAUUCUAAGUUGUGUCUGAUAAGCCCAAGCUCCCGAUCCCUCCCACUCCCUCCCCCUCAGGGAGCCAGGUUUGGCAACAGUUGCCUUGCACUAUUACCUAGUGUCAGCUCUGUAUGUAGUGUCCUGUGUUACUUCCUGCCUGUGCUUGAGGCUCCCAAACCUUUAUGCCAAAUCUAGAGAUCACCUCUAGCCUAGAUAGCAUAUUGUACAUUUUUCUAGUUAAUCUUAACUCUGGCUUUAUUAUUUUUCUUCUUGUAUCUUCCCUUUGGCUUUACUUCCUUAAUUAUUUUAUCAUUCUCCUUUUGUGUAUAUUUCUGUAAGUAAUCACAAAUCAUUGCAGGGGGGAAUAAGAUUGGAAAUAAACACAAAACCAGUGUCCCCUUCCCUAAUACCCUAAUGCACUUAAAUUUGGUUUCCCUGGCAACAGAAAGUAAAACUUGCUAAACUAGGGAUGCUAGCUCAUCCUUCCUUCACACCCUCACCACACCUUGUAAAACUGGGGCAUCUAGAAACGGUGUUCAGAAAAUUAGAGACUGAUGGCUGGACCGAUAAGAAAAGGUUACAAGUAGUGUUCCUUCCUCUCCUUUCUGCCCUCACCUUGUCUCCUUCCAGCCCCUCCCCCACCCCUUCUCCUAUCUUUUGAAACACUGAACAAAGAAUUGCUCUUUUUCCUGGACUCAAGCAUUCAAAGCUGGCACAAUGCAUAGAUAAAGCUUCAGAAUUAAUAGGAGGACUCUUUGUCUCGUUCAAGACAAAAUGCCUAAAAUGGCUUUCCAUUGAGGUGUAUUAUUUUUUGAACCUCCUGGCUCACUGAACAGGCAUAUUUGAGACACAGUGCUGGAGGUGUGGGUGUGGGGUGGGGAGGAGGGGCUCAAUCCUUGGACCCUGCCCUUUCCCCCUCUAUAGCUCCAUUAAAUGUGCUACAUUUAGGAUGGCCUCCAUGCCCUUGUGCCCAAGCACAAAGCUGUGAUAUCACGGGAAAUGUUACCGUGCAAGCUGUGUUUGGUGAGGGGAACAUAAUUGCCUGUGGAAGCAGGUUUGUCAUACAGAGCUGAAGAACGCUCUAGGGAAGUUCUACAGAGACAGACUUUGUGGAAAAACUGAUAAAUUGCACUUCUCUAAAUUCACUUUUUAAGCCUUUUCUGCUGUUUGAAAAAUAUGUAAUCUCUUGGGCAAUGAUGAGCCCCUGUCUCUUUCUACUUGUCCUUUCUGCAAAUCUUUUUACUUAAUUCUCAGAUUCUCUUCAGUGAGGAACUUUUUUUUUUCUUCUGUCAUUGGCUUUCUGUUGAAUAUAUUUGUUAAGAAUGUAUUUGACUCUGAACUGGCUAGAUGGGCAUGGUAAAAUAGGCUGUGUGUGUGUAUGCAUAUGAGUGUAUGUGCAUUUGAGUUUUGGGGUUUCUGUUUUUGCCAUUUCCAUUAGUCAAAAACAAUGUUAUUUUAUACAUCUUCAGAUUUUCAAAUUAAACCAAUAGAACUUAGAAGGCACUGUACCCAAAACCAAAAUAAUUCUGAGGCAUUUUAACUAGUGGCAUUCAUCUUUUCUUCUACUAAAAUCAAAAGUACUUUUUACAUGAUGGAGAGGUUUUUUGUGCCAUUUUCUGCAAUAUCAGUGUGGUUAUACUUAAGCCAUUAUAAAUCUUUUCCAAGAUAAGUGUCUGGACUAUAGAAUUCUGCCUCUCUUCCCCACAUCACCCUAUGUCCUUGUAAGAACACAGAAUUCUCACACAUGACUCAAAAUGUUUCAGCCUUUUUUUCUCAGAUGCAUGCUCAGUGACAGCUGAUGGAAGCAUUAUGCAGUAUAUGUUCUUAGAGCUAGCAUCUCGCUUAUAGAGGUGCUCAGUAUGGUCAUGACUAAAGAUCUCUGGACAGCAAGGCUGCCCUUGUGGAACAGCAGAGCCUACAGGCAGCCAACCAAACCAUCAAACAACCAUGAUGCCGAUUAACUAAAACAAAUCUACGUCUUUUUCUUUCUUUUCUUUCUUUUUUUUUUUUUUUGCCUUUUUUUAGGGCCGCAGUUGUGGCAUUUGGAAGUUCCCAGGCUAGGGGUUGAAUUGGAGCUACAGCUAUUGACCUACACCACAGCCACAGCCCCACAGGAUCUGAGCUGUGCCUGCAGCCUCACCACAGCUCUUGGCAAUGCCAGAUCCUUAACCACUGAGCAAGGCCAGGGAUCGAACCCUCAUCCUCAUGGAUCCUAGUCGGGUUCAUUAACUGCUGAGCCACGAAGGGAACUCUUCUUUUACUUUUUAAUAAUAUGCCUUUUAUUUAUUUAUCAAUCUGUUUAUCUAUAGAUCUAUUUAUUUAUCUAUUGAUUGAUUGAUUUGUUGCACCCACAGUAUGUGGAAGUUCCCAGACCAGGGAUCGAACCCAUGCCACAGUAGUAAGUAACCUGAGUCCCAGCAGUAACAACUUGGGAUCCUAAAGUUGCUGGGCCGCCUGGGAACUCCAAAAACCACAUCUUUUUAGAGACCACACCUGCCUUACAGUUUCCAUCACGAGCUUCACUCUAUGUCUUGGCUUCCAAUUAUUAAACCUGUGCUAACCAUGGGCAUGGGAAGUGCAGAGGAAGUGUAUUGGUCAGUUUGCUUGAUAGAGCAGCUCUGGGUGCAGAAUCUCAUUCUGGGAAUUGCCAUCUUGUGAUUAGGCAAUCCAACUCAGUUAUUACGGUAUUUCUCGCCACAAUGACCUCAAACAGGAACAAGCAGAAAGCUUUGCCUAGAUCAAUUAAGAAAAAGGUUUAAUAUUCUGUAAUAGAUAAUGAAGAAAAUUGGAUGAAGAAAAAGAUGAUUUUAGCUUCAAAUUCUCUACAGCUGGCUUCUGUAUUUGGUUCCAUGUCUAUUUUGGGGGGCAGAGGGGGAGGGGUCAUGGCCUGUGCACAUAGAUCAGAAGAAGAAUUUCCAGAUGCAAAGCAAGACAACUUUAUUGAGACAAGAGAUGCUGUUAACACAGAGGGCUGACUUCUUGAUAAUCAGGGAUAGCUGACCCAGGGAUUUGUCAUAUCUGUUUUUGUAGCCUAGAGACAAAGGGGAAAGAUGGGGUCUUCCAAUACACUUGCUGGUUGGUUGGAGACCUAUAUUUCCCCUAUAGGGGUGCAGUGAGUAGUGGGCCACAUACUUUUCUUAGUAGAGGUAGGAAGGAGUGGGCCAAGUGGCUGAAAAGUGGGGUGUGUGGCAUUAUAGUGAGACAGCAGCAUGAUGAUAAGGGUCUGAUAAUUCUUGUCUUGGCCAGAGGCUUUGAGUUGUGUCUCCUUGAAGAGGUCUUGAAGUCCCACAGGGGUGUGUGCAUCCUUCCCGAAACCUGAUCAGGACUUUGCAUAAGCCCUCAUUGCCCAGGGUCAAACAAGUGCUGUCUUCUUUAAUCAGACUUUCAGAACUCUCAAAACUUACUCUCACUGGGAGGUCGUGGUUAACAGCACUGAAGAACCAGGGCGCGAGUGUUCUGGGUUAAUGAUACAGAAUGACCUGAAAGUGAGUUCUUAACUAGGCAGGGUAUACUUUAAGGGAGAUAUGAAUUUUGUUCUGAAGGCUGAUAGUUACAUUUCUGGGAACCUGUAGGCAUCCAUUUCUGCCUUUCUGAAUCAGAGAUAUAAGUAAUUACUGGGACACAGCAGACACAGGAGUCAAUUUAAAGUAAUAGAAACUCAGGGGGACUUUAUCCCAGAAAAUAGUUCACCUGUGUGAAUGAAGUGGCAUGCACAAGGUGGCACAUUGUGGCAUCCUUUGUAAUAAGGAUUAGUUGUUCACAGUCUACAUGUUCACCAGUGGUGGAAGAAUGAAACAAAUGACCACUCCAUCCAUAUUACAGAGCUUGUGUAGCCAUUAUAAGAACAAAGGAGGGAGUUUCCUGUGGCCUAGUGGUUAAGGGCUUUGUGUUGUCACUGCAGUGGCACAGAUUCAAUCUCUG